AGAGUUUGAUCCUGGCUCAGGACGAACGCUGGCGGCGUGCCUAAUACAUGCAAGUCGAACGCUUCUUUUUCCACCGGAGCUUGCUCCACCGGAAAAAGAGGAGUGGCGAACGGGUGAGUAACACGUGGGUAACCUGCCCAUCAGAAGGGGAUAACACUUGGAAACAGGUGCUAAUACCGUAUAACAAUCGAAACCGCAUGGUUUUGAUUUGAAAGGCGCUUUCGGGUGUCGCUGAUGGAUGGACCCGCGGUGCAUUAGCUAGUUGGUGAGGUAAAGGCUCACCAAGGCGACGAUGCAUAGCCGACCUGAGAGGGUGAUCGGCCACAUUGGGACUGAGACACGGCCCAAACUCCUACGGGAGGCAGCAGUAGGGAAUCUUCGGCAAUGGACGAAAGUCUGACCGAGCAACGCCGCGUGAGUGAAGAAGGUUUUCGGAUCGUAAAACUCUGUUGUUAGAGAAGAACAAGGAUGAGAGUAACUGUUCAUCCCUUGACGGUAUCUAACCAGAAAGCCACGGCUAACUACGUGCCAGCAGCCGCGGUAAUACGUAGGUGGCAAGCGUUGUCCGGAUUUAUUGGGCGUAAAGCGAGCGCAGGCGGUUUCUUAAGUCUGAUGUGAAAGCCCCCGGCUCAACCGGGGAGGGUCAUUGGAAACUGGGAGACUUGAGUGCAGAAGAGGAGAGUGGAAUUCCAUGUGUAGCGGUGAAAUGCGUAGAUAUAUGGAGGAACACCAGUGGCGAAGGCGGCUCUCUGGUCUGUAACUGACGCUGAGGCUCGAAAGCGUGGGGAGCAAACAGGAUUAGAUACCCUGGUAGUCCACGCCGUAAACGAUGAGUGCUAAGUGUUGGAGGGUUUCCGCCCUUCAGUGCUGCAGCUAACGCAUUAAGCACUCCGCCUGGGGAGUACGACCGCAAGGUUGAAACUCAAAGGAAUUGACGGGGGCCCGCACAAGCGGUGGAGCAUGUGGUUUAAUUCGAAGCAACGCGAAGAACCUUACCAGGUCUUGACAUCCUUUGACCACUCUAGAGAUAGAGCUUCCCCUUCGGGGGCAAAGUGACAGGUGGUGCAUGGUUGUCGUCAGCUCGUGUCGUGAGAUGUUGGGUUAAGUCCCGCAACGAGCGCAACCCUUAUUGUUAGUUGCCAUCAUUUAGUUGGGCACUCUAGCAAGACUGCCGGUGACAAACCGGAGGAAGGUGGGGAUGACGUCAAAUCAUCAUGCCCCUUAUGACCUGGGCUACACACGUGCUACAAUGGGAAGUACAACGAGUCGCAAAGUCGCGAGGCUAAGCUAAUCUCUUAAAGCUUCUCUCAGUUCGGAUUGUAGGCUGCAACUCGCCUACAUGAAGCCGGAAUCGCUAGUAAUCGCGGAUCAGCACGCCGCGGUGAAUACGUUCCCGGGCCUUGUACACACCGCCCGUCACACCACGAGAGUUUGUAACACCCGAAGUCGGUGAGGUAACCUUUUGGAGCCAGCCGCCUAAGGUGGGAUAGAUGAUUGGGGUGAAGUCGUAACAAGGUAGCCGUAUCGGAAGGUGCGGCUGGAUCACCU
rnacentral:rRNA from 1 species